rnacentral:lncRNA from 1 species
ACAUUUUUGCAUUUUCAAAAUUAGUGAAAAAAAAUAUAGGUUCUUGUAGACCAUGGACAAUUUUGACAGUUGACACACAAUGUUCAUUUAUGAGCCACAAAGAAAUAGAAAAUUCUAAUAAAAUUUCUUUGCAAAAUGAUACUCGUUUUUUUUCCUUCACAGAAGGUAUGUGGUCAAAUUUUUUUCUAGAAAUUUUGGCGUGUCAAUAUAAUUAAUCAUCCAUCUAGAUGUUUUUUUAUAAAUUUGAGAAUUGCGGUUUUUGUCUUGUAAAUUUCCGAAACAGUAGUACGCCUACACUCAACCAGGCUACACCUAGGGCCAAUUUCCUGCAGACGCAAUACACUGCUGACAUUUCAGGAAGCAACUGACAAGAAAAAUGACCGUUUGUGUCCGGUUUUUGCAGCAUCUUCCCUGUGGCAGCAGGCGGGAGAGUGGUGGAAGCUGCAGCAGCGCCGCCGCAGGCUCGCGUUGGACUGCCACCCUGGAUGCUUAGCCACCUAAGCGGCUGAAGGUCGCGGAUGCUUACGGCACUCCCAAUGUAAGACUCUAUCAUAGAGUCGAAGACAAUUAAUUAUAUAUUAUUUAUGAUAUUUUGCUGAUGUGGCACCGUAUUUAUUGAAGAAAGAGGUAGAAAAAAUAAGACUCCAAGUCUUAUUUAGACUCCAAGUCCACAUUGUUCGAGGUAAUAAAUGAUUUUAGACUCCAUGAUAGAGUCUGAGUGCCCUUAGCCACCUAAGCGGAUGAAGGUCGCGGUGUGCUAGUCCAAAAUUCAGCAACUCUUCCCCGGGCUGGCUGGCCCGCUUCUCCGCCUGGUGUGUCUUCGUGAUCGCGAGCAGCAGCAGCAGUGGCCUACCGUAUUUUUUACCACCAUAUAUAUAUAUAAGU